GUCAAAUAAGCUUUACAUGCUUUAACUGUGUGAAUUUUUAUUUAAAUUCACACAGUUAAAGCAUGUAAAGCUUAUUUGACGAA
rnacentral:sRNA from 1 species